UGUUGUUAUUGUUGUUUAAAUCUUCCUGGAAGGCAGAAAGAAAGAGAUAAAAAGGAAAAAACAGCAUUUGUCACUUAUAGUGCUCUGGUUAGCACAGUAGCUGGGCCCCUGAACCCUCUACAGGCCUCCCAAGCUGGCACUGAAUAAAAUGUGAGAAAUGAAAGGAACUUUUCCGUGAGUCUGGCAGCGCCGACAGACACUGAGGUGGCAGAGCUGUCUGGUCCCAGUCCACAUGCAGAGGCCUGCAGCUCCUCCUUCCAGCCCGCACCCACCAGAGCUUCUCAGACGGGCCGUGUCCUGAGAAGGUUGUUGCCAAUGUAGAUGUUUGAGAGGCUCACUGAUGAACAAAUCAACAGAGCAGAUUUAAUCUGAAGAGAUCCAAAUAUUGUGCUUCUUUGGACUCAUAGAAAUGGCGAAAGAUUUAACAUCAGGAAGUACUUAAGUCAGCUAAUUUCUAGAGCCUUCUUCCUCCCUGUCACUUGAUUCUAGAUAGGAUCACCAGUUAGACAUCAGAACCAGAUCUUUUUAUCCAGAGAAGUACCAGUUUGUUGUUUUUCCUUCCGAAGCCAAGUCCUCGAGUUUCAGGUAGACUUCAGUUGAUUUCUGCGAGGUCUUUGCUUUCUCUCUGCCAGAAUAAUCACUGCUGAGGAAAGCAAAAAGCCCCGAAGAGCCUGGCUUGGAAUAAAAACAUGCACCAUACAAGAUUUUUAUGAAGAUUAAAUAACUUGGGCUAAAAUAUUCUGGAAGCUGCCAAGGGCUCUACAGAUGAGCUAUACAGAGGCAUUUGCUGAAAACUGGCCUGGAUUGACAAGCGCAAUGCAAACGUGGCUGCGGCAGUUCCAGGCAUCACAUGGUAACAAGAUCACAUCCAGUGAAGAAGGAAUUCUCAUAAGACAGUCAGCAGAUUUUGCAGUCCUGCAAGGUGGAUAUCACUCUCACCUUCAGCGCACAAAGAAAGGAGGUAUACAGAAGACACAGAACUCACCAAAGUCACAGGAACUAGGUGAGGAUGAACCAGGCUGCAUCCAAGCAGCCCAGCUUCAGGGUCUGUAUUCUUUGCCACUACCCAGAACUUUUACCAAUAAGCAAAGCUAUUGUUUGCAAUAACAGGAAGCAAAAAUAGCAAAAAGUUCCCUUUAAGGGGGAGUGUUAUAAUAUACUUAACAAUCAGAAUGGCUGAAGCACUGAUCUGUGAGAGUGGCUACUGGUCAUAGCCUGGAGCUGGUCUUUUAGGUCCUCUUUGGUUACUGGAUCCUGGGAGGAUGGAUGAGGAAGUGGUCUCAGGCAAGGGGUGGAGUUAAGUGGCUGUGGAAGGUACUUUGGAGGCUCAGGCAGCAGCUUUUUUUCCCCUUAAACUUUUGUUUUAAGUUCUAGGGUACACGUGCAGGAUGUGCAGUUUACAUAGGUAAACGUGUGCCGUGGUGGUUUGCUGUACAGAACAAACCAUCACUCAGGUAUUAUUAAGCCCAGCACCCAUUAGCUAUUCUUUCUGAUGCUUUCCCUCUCCCAACUUCCACCCGACAGGCCCCAGUGUGUGUUGUUCCCCUCCCUCUGUUCUCAUUGUUCAGCUCCCACUUAUAAGUGAGAACAUGUGGUGUUUGGUUUUCUGUUCCUGCGUCAGUUUGCUGAGGAUAACAGCUUCCAGCUCCAACUAUGUCCCUGCAAAGGACAUGAUCUGAUUCCUUGUUAUGGCUGCAUAGUAUUCCAUGGUGUAUAUGUAACACAUUUUCUUUAUCCAGUCUAUUGUUGAUGCACAUUUGGGUUGAUUCCAUGCCUUUGCUAUUGUAAAUAGUGUUGCAAUGAACAUACAUCUUUAUAUAUGAAUAUAUGUAUCUUUAUAAUAGAAUGAUCUAUAUUCCUUUGGGUAUAUGCGCAGUAAUAAGAUUGCUGGGUCAAAUGGUAUUUCCGCUUCUAGAUCUUUGAGGAAUCGCCACACUGUCUUUCACCAUGGUUGAACUAAUUUACAUUCCCACCAACAGUGUAAAAACGUUCCUUUUUCUCCACAACUUUGCCAACAUCUGCAGUUUCUUGACUUUUUAAUAAUUGCCAUUCUGAC
rnacentral:lncRNA from 1 species